rnacentral:misc_RNA from 1 species
AUACAGCCGACAUGAACGGCCACAAGCAAGAUCGUAAAAUCAACCAGUUCGGAGACUAUGAGGACACAUCCAACAUGAAACCGGAAGAUUGGGACUACAGAUGGGGUAAAUCCCAGACACAAUUCCACAUGCCCAAGAUUCACCCGAUGCUUUCAAAACAUUCUGAUACACUAACUGGGAAAAGGAAAAACUUACGUAUUUUCCUACCCCUUUGCGGAAAAGCAGUUGAUAUGAAAUGGUUACGGACGACGGACAUGACGUGGUGGGGCUGGAGUGUGCCGAGAAGGGAUGCCGGGAAUUCUUUGAGGAACAGGAUAUGCCCUACACCACCGAAAAUCUGACCGAGUGCGAGGGCAAGGUCUUUAAGGCUACAACUGAUAAAAAGAUAGCCAUAUACUGUUGCGAUUUCUUCAAGAUUUCCAGCAAAACCCUUGGCAAGUUUGAUUGUAUAUGGGACAGGGGCAGUUUUGUUGCGAUUCCAGUUACACAAAGAAAACAGUAUAGUAAUAUCAUCACCCCCACAAUGCAUAAAGACACUGUCUACCUUUUGGACAGCUUUCUGGUCGACAACACAGUGUUUGGAGGUCCACCAUUCAAUUGUACAGAGGAUGAUAUUAAAAAAGCAUUUGGUUCACAGACCGACAUCAAGAAAAUCGACGAGAGGGACGCGUUCGGAAAGUGGCAGGAGAGCUGGGGACUCAAAACGUUUGUGGAGGAGUUGUAUAUGUUGAAGAUGAAAUGAAGCGUUUUUGUGAUAUUGACUAUUACAAACUCUCAGAGUUCUAAACAGCAUUUCGAGUCCGUCGUAACGAAGAAUACGCAAUAAGCUGAUUGGAGGAGUAUAUACAGUUUUAUGAACUUUUAAUUUAUUUAUUGUGUCAUUUUCAUUUGUUCACAAUUUUUAUUAUUAUUGUUUCAUUUUAAACACCUUUGAUGCUUGAUAAAGAUUUGUUUUGAUGUAAUAUACUUAAUUCAUUUCAAUAUUAAAUGAUUAUAAAUUAC